rnacentral:rRNA from 1 species
AGAAUCAACGCUGGCGGCGUGCCUAACGACAUGCAAGUCGCACGAGAAAGGGGAGCAAUCCCUGAGUAAAGUGGCGCACGGGUGAGUAACACGUGACUAACCUACCUCCGAGUGGGGAAUAACUGAGAGAAAUCUUAGCUAAUACCGCAUAACACUUACGAGUCAAAGCAGCAAUGCGCUUGGAGAGGGGGUCGCGGCAGAUUAGUUAGUUGGCGGGGUAAUGGCCCACCAAGACGAUGAUCUGUAUCCGGCCUGAGAGGGCGCACGGACACACUGGAACUGAAACACGGUCCAGACUCCUACGGGAGGCAGCAGUGGGGAAUUUUGCGCAAUGGGGGAAACCCUGACGCAGCAACGCCGCGUGGAGGAUGAAAUAUCUUGGUAUGUAAACUCCUUUCGAUGGGGAAGAUUAUGACGGUACCCAUAGAAGAAGCCCCGGCUAACUUCGCGCCAGCAGCCGC